rnacentral:rRNA from 1 species
AGUUUUUAACUCAAGUGGCGGACGGGUGAGUAACACGUAAGAAUUUACCUUUAGGAGGGGGACAACAACUGGAAACGGUUGCUAAUACCCCAUAUGCUUUCGAGUGAAACGGAUUUCCGCCUAAAGAGAAGCUUGCGGCUGAUUAGCUUGUUGGUAGGGUAAUGGCUUACCAAGGCGACGAUCAGUAUCUGGUUUGAGAGGACGACCAGACACACUGGAACUGAGACACGGUCCAG